GCUUUCCCAGUCUCAGGGCACGGUGCAGGAGCAGCAGCACAGAGGUCACUGAGAGGUGGAAACUCUUCUUCAGCAGCAACGUGAGCCCAGGAACAAAAAAAAAAAAAAAAAAAAAGAAUACAUGAAACUGCAGAUGAAGAAGAAAUAGUGCUAAAAAGAUCAUCCAAGUCUUCCUCCUUUCCUUCUCUUACUUCAUAAAUCAUUUUGUUUAUGUAAGGGAGAACAAUAAAGCAGGCCAGAUUUAGAAAACAUUUUUUCCUGUCAACGAGCAGAAUGAUUGAUGCUGUGCAAAAGCAGUAUCUAAGUAGGAAAAAAAAGCUUUCAGGGAUGAUUUACUGAAACCCACCGAACAAUUGGAUUUGGAUGCUGGAAAAUAGCAGCUCCUGAGACUAAAUUAAUUAAUGAAAUAUUUGGGAACGGCCUUGGAUAGUUAGAACAAAACAGAAGCGAGGAGGAAACUGCGUGAGAUUGUCUUCAAUUCCAACCUACUCCGCAGGUCAUAAAGGAAUUGAUGUAAGGAUGACAGUGUAGCCCAAAUGCCUGGAGACAGAAGGGAGCCUCGAGCAGCGGAGCCUCACCAGGCCUUGGUGGCAGUGUGGCAGGCUCCUGCCUGGCUGAAAAUCUGCCCCGUGGGUUAAACAUCAACGGAUUGAGGGUGGCCAGCUCCUGUUUGUGACCCAAACCCCGCUGGGAUGCUCCAGCAGCACCAGAGCAGCAGAUCCACAGGCUCCCAGGGGGAACAACGUGGGCUCAGCACAUCCUGCUCACUGUGGAGUUAAACCCACACAUCCUGCCUGAGGCUGCAAAGGCAAGGUAAAGAGGAAUCACUGCACUUCUCCCGUUCUGGCUGACGUGGGUGUUAAUCUCCAGGAG